rnacentral:misc_RNA from 1 species
GAUGAAGAACGUAGCGAAAUGCGAUAAGUAAUGUGAAUUGCAGAAUUCAGUGAAUCAUCGAAUCUUUGAACGCACCUUGCACCCUUUGGACUGCUCCAAAGGGUAUGCUCGUUUGAGUGUCAUUGUACUCUCACACUCUCUGAUCCUUUGGAUUUGGGGAGCAGUGGACUUGGGUGCUUGCUGCUUCCUUGUGGCUCACCUGAAAUGCAUCAGUGCAUCUCUCGAUUGGACAUAGUACGGCGUGGUAAGUGUCUUCGCCGGCACCUCAUAUGAGGGUGGCCGAUCGGGAGCUCUGUGCUUUCAAACCGUCUUCGGACAACGCUGACAACUUGACCUCAAAUCGAGUAGGACUACCCGCUGAACUUAAGCAUAUCAAUAAGCGGAGGA